AUGUAAAUAGAAAGACGCGUAAUUAACGGAUUUGUAAGGGCGUAGUCAAGUGUGUCAAUAUAAUUCAUCGUUCUUUUCGACGAUUUAUUUUUCUUCUUCUCUUAGCGAGAACUUUCGAAAACCAUUAAUCUUUUUACUCGUUACUAGGAAAUCAGUCGAUGCUUUCAACGAUGUUUACUUUAUGCCGUGAACACGUUCGUUUUCGACGACAGUUUAUUAUAGCCUGAUUGCUCGUAAGAAUUAGCACGAGUCGUCGCAACUAUAGACAUUCGCAAAAAAAACUUUAAACGUAUAUCGGACGAGAGAAUCGUACAGUGAAAGGGCUUAACUUCUCUUCCGUGUAAAUUAAUUCAAAUCGCCAUACGUCGCCAGGCACGCGGAUACGUGUUUAAACGAGAACGGGCAAACGCGAACGUUCGUAAACUUGCUAGGAUAUAAAUUUUAAUUGAAGUAAAUACAUAUACUUACAGUAGUAGUACCGCGCACAUAGUGACUAAUGUCGAAAGUAAAAUCGUUGUUUCGUUUCUCUUUCAUUCUCUCUCUCUCUCUCUCUCUCUCUCUCUCUCUCUCUCUCUCUCUCUCUCUUCCAAGCACCUCCGCACCGAUUUUCCAAAGAAAAAUCUUGGAAAUUUUUAGCCUCGCGAUAGAUCUCGUUCCGAGACAAGGACUCUCUGCAUAAAACUCGAACGCGAAUUACAUCGAUAUACCUACGAGCGAGUGUUUUCACGCCAAAGUAUAUUAGUCCCGGUCGCGACGUGGGAAUAUACCAGGAUAAUGAUGUGGCAGAACAUUUGAGAACGCCCGAUUUGAAAACAAGUUGAAAUAGCAAGUUAAAUCUGAACGGAGUCACGAACACGUAUUGGAUUGCAACGUGUCGUUCGUUGAUCAUUGGUAUCGGUCAUUGAAGUACCAAGCGCGCGUGGAAGUCUCCGAAGACUCUGGCAUGGAACUUUAAGAUUUGUAACGUUGGCCAUCCUGUGACGAAGAAUUGGUUAUGUUGGACUUGGUGAACUAAAGAACCGAGAGGCAAUAGACAAAGGAGGAGAAAAGCGUGGAUUAUUAUUGAGAAGGCUAAAUAAAGUAUUUAUGAAAUUGAAAUUAUUUAUUGAUGCGUCCAGUUAGGUUUUAUUCAUGUGUAAAUCUAAACAUCGAUUACGCUCAACUGCGAAAGGAUUCCGGCGUCGUGAUUUUGUUCGUUAUAGUUAACAGUGUCGCGUGUACUUGGAAAUAUGUAAGAUAAAUUUGGUUGACAGUCGAACAGAA